GGCAUCAGAUUUAUUUGGUAGGAUCGUUGAUCUAGUUAAGAGAUCAGAGGCUGGUCUCAGAUCCAUUUGGUGGGAAUUGUCAGUUCAGGUGAGGAACCAGAGACAUGGGAAUAUCAGUAACAUACCUCUGAUCCUAGUGAUUUUGGUACCACAUGCAUUUGAGAUGGAGAUGGUGGCAUUGCAUUGGAUCUGCAUUAUGAUCUGUUUGAUUAUGUUUUGAGUGUGAUUAAGAAUACUAUUAUAUUCAUGAUUACUAUCAUGUCUUGAUGUUAUUCACCAUUAAUAAUUGUUAGAUGUAUUCUCACCCCAUGUUUGUUGUUGUGGAGUCUGUGCUCCUCUAGAGUACAAACAAUGAGGUACAAGAGUAGUCGUUGAAUAGGGGAUAAUGUAUAUGUUCCCUUUAGCUUUUAUAGUUGGGUAUUAUAGGACUCGUUCUGAUAUGUAGCACAAGGGAUGUGAUGUAUUUCGUUAUUGUGUGAUGUUUUGUUUUGUUUUGUUGGAGUUGUUAUUAAGACUUUAUGUUGGACUUUGUUUAAUUUCCGCUGCGUAUUUGCAUGACUAUUUGUUUGCUUUUUAAGUAUU
rnacentral:lncRNA from 1 species